rnacentral:rRNA from 1 species
UUGCCUACGGGGGGCAGCAGUGAGGAAUAUUGGUCAAUGGGCGGGAGCCUGAACCAGCCAAGCCGCGUGAGGGAAGAAGGUACAGCGUAUCGUAAACCUCUUUUGUCAGGGAACAAAGGCGGGGACUAGUCCCCGGAUGAGGGUACCUGAAGAAAAAGCAUCGGCUAACUCCGUGCCAGCAGCCGCGGUAAUACGUAGGGUGCAAGCGUUAUCCGGAUUUAUUGGGCGUAAAGGGCUCGUAGGCGGUUCGUCGCGUCCGGUGUGAAAGUCCAUCGCUUAACGGUGGAUCCGCGCCGGGUACGGGC